GGAAUGAUAUUACUCUAUGAGCAGUGACAGGGCAUCUGUUUUACCUGCAGAAGGUCCCAGGUUCAAUCCCUGGUAUCUCCA